GAUGAGGCUGAUCUAAUUGACAGAAAUGACCAGCAGCAGUUUCUGGCAAGCCCUGAUUUUCUUUCAAAUUACGGCAUGCCCACUUUGAUUUCUAAUAUGCAGGCAGCAGCAUCUGAAGUCCUCAAGGGAAAGCAGUUGAAGGAUUUGUUCAACACCACUGUACUUCAUGAAACGACUGUGCCGAUAUUGGACAUGUUCAUGAGCAUGGGAAGCCCUCAUCACUGGGUGGACUAUUUAAUGCCGGAGGAUCCUAAUUUCUACAAACUUGUUGCAUUCUCCAACAGUGACAGCACAGAUCCUUCUGAUAGUACCAAAUUUGAUCGACUCAUGGUGGAGACACGUGCAGUAUUAUCCAGCUCUUGGAUAAGACAUUUGAUGAGUUUGCUACUGGAAUACUGUGACUGGGGAAACUUCAUGGGUAGUUCCUGAUCUGUUGGCUCAGGGAGCUGAAUUAACGGGUGAGCAGAAAACUGCUCCUGAUACUGAAGUAAGAAACGGUCCUCUUGGUGGGGACACAUGAACCAAAUUCCACUUUAGACAUGGAAUUGGAUGGUUCUGUAACAGUGCAUCCUAAUAAUCACUGUAAAGCAGGCAAUGUAAUCCAUGAAACUCAAGAAAUUGAUGAGCCCGAGGCCCAGAUAGAGGAUCAGAAUGAUGGAUUUAAAGAUAAUGGUUUAGAAGAUAAAAGGCCAGGUUCUGAUGCUAACCAAACUGAGACGAAAAAUAGCUCCAAUGCAGCCCUUGCACUGUAUCGUAAAAUUUCUUCACCUGGGGACAGUGUUUCUUCCCAGGACUCGGGUGAUACUCUCUUGUGCAAUGGGGAUGCCACAGAUGCUGAUCAAUCCAUGGUUCAUGAAGAAGAUGACACGGAGAAUGACCUUAUUUUUUCAGUUCUGAAGCAUAGUGAGCAGUUAUUGGAGAGAUUAAAAUCACUGAAAGGUUCCAAGAGCCACAUGCAAGGGCAUGAAUGGAUAUCAAAGUUUCUUUUGGAAGUUGGUUUACCUUGUUGACGCGUACGACAAAGAGAGAUUUGCAGAGGCCAAAAAGGAGCUGGAUGCCCUACAUAAAAAACAACAACAAUACUGAACAAUACUCAACCUUGCUAACACCAGAUGUUCUUUUUUUUUGAAAUUGAUGCUAAUUAUGUUAAAUUUUUGUUGGAAUGAAUUGUUUUUUAUUAUUUGGGGUUUAGAAUAGGGUUUUGUGAAUUGUUCCUUGUUUUUGGAAUCAAUGUUGCUGCUGCUGAGUUAUGUGUUGAAACUUGGAUAUAGAAAAUUUUAUAAUAAGACCUGUUUUGAUAAUGAAUUCGUCCUAUUUUGAUUAUGAA